GUACGAGUAUCUCUACCAAUGCGAACGCAUGCAGAAGGCCCUUCUGUGUUCAAUCCCAUCUGGCGAAUUUUGUCCACUUGCGACGAUUUGUUUUCCAGGAUUGUUCCAGAAAGUGAAGAAAUCUAUCAGGAAAUGGAUAGUAUUCGCAGCACUCCGCGAUGAACACGACGGACCGUUUCGCUUUCGCCCUGCCAUUCUGCUAUAUUUCGUUGUGGGCUGCGAAAUGUACAUUAUAUCCACACACGUGCCUGGAAUCCUGGAAGUGACUUACCAUCCAUGCUUUUAACGGAGAUCCUGGAAGAUCUGGACCUCCACUCACAAGCCCAAGCCAUGCGUUUGCGACUGCGGGCGCCGUUAUGGACCUUAUUUCUCUGGAUAUUUAAUGGAGCCCAGAGAGUUCCGUUUACUUGCAGUAAAGUUUAAAAUUCGAUUCUGUUGGCUGGUUUGUUUUAGCCGAAAUCGCGCUUUAAUGUGGAUUCCCAUUAACUUUGCGCAGCGAGAGGGUCUAAGAAAUUUCGCUCACGCUCACUGCGAAGCACAACGGAAUCCCGAAGCAAAACUGAAAUUCGCGAUGGUGUCAAGCAAGGCGGACACUUCCGCGACGAGAAGUGUCACCAUCCAAGCACGGGACCAUGAUUGGGAGUCAGAGCUGCACAGCUGGUGCAGGAUUUCCUGGAAGUUGCGCAAAUCCGCGUGCCUUUCCUGGUGCUCAAAUUCUUUUCCCUGACAAGUAUGGGACUAGAAAGGCGGAAAUACUUCCAGCCCCACUGUGAAGGACUGAUCGUCGAUGCACUGCAAAUGGGCCAAACGCUGUUUUAUACGAUGCAAUACGAAGACAACUGCAGUUCCGCAGCGCGGUCCGUUGUGAUUGGGACGAUGGUCUGCGUUCCCCGUUUAAUUUGUGACUGGGAAGUCGGCUGGCGGCAGACCAGUCGGAGUUUCAUGUGCCCCCGAGGGAAAGCAUCGGUCCAUGGC